GUGAGGCAGGGCAGCCCGAACACGGCCACGACCCUCCGGACAAACUUGUCGCAACGACGCGCGAAACCAGCUCCUGUUCCGACCCGCGCCGCCGCCGCCGCCUCCGCUGCGCCACCAGCCCGCCAUGACGAGGAAGCACGCGGGCGCCGGCGUCCUCCACGCCCUCGUCGCCGUCGCGGCCUCCGUCGCGUCCGCCUCGUCCCGGAAGCCCCCGAGGCGCGCCGCGCCCUACCUCGCCGUCCUCCUCCGCCGGGGCCGCGCCGAGGCCGCGGCGCGCCUCAACCGCCACCUCCGCCUGCUGCCUCUCCCGGAGUCCCCCGCCCUCCUCUCGGCGCUCCCCUCCGUCCGCGACGCCGUCUCCUACAACACCGUCCUCGCCGCGCUCUGCCGCCAGGGCUGCCUCGACGCCGCGCUCCUCCUCCUCCGCGUCAUGUCGCACGAGCCCCGCCUCGCCUGCCGCCCCAACGCCAUCUCCUACACCACUCUCAUGCGCGCGCUCUGCGCCGACCGUCGCGCGGGCCAGGCCGUCGGGCUGCUUCGGUCCAUGCAGGACUGCGGCGUCCGCCCCGACGUGGUCACCUACGGCACGCUCAUCCGCGGGCUGUGCGACGCCGCGGACGUUGACAAGGCCGUGGAGCUGGUGAAUGAGAUGUGCGAGAGUGGUAUCGAGCCUAACGUGGUUGUGUACAGCUGUUUACUCCAUGGUUAUUGCAAGACCGGGAGGUGGGAAAGCGUAGGCAAGGUGUUCGAAGAAAUGUCUGACAGGGGUAUUGAGCCCGAUGUUGUGAUGUACACUAGUUUGAUCGAUAGCCUGUGUAGACACGGGAAGGUAACAAAGGCAGCGCGGGUGAUGGAAAUGAUGGCGGAGCGGGGGUUGGAGCCAAACGUGGUGACCUACAAUGUGCUGAUCAAUUCCAUGUGCAAGGAAGGGUCUGUGAGGGAGGCGCUCGAUUUGCGGAAGAAUAUGCUGGAGAAGGGCGUGCAACCAGAUGUUGUGACAUAUAACACACUCAUCACAGGGCUAUCUAGUGUGCUUGAGAUGGAUGAGGCGAUGGCGUUGCUAGAGGAGAUGAUGCAAGGUGAAACUAAAGUUAGGCCUGAUUUGAUGACAUUCAACUCGGUUAUACAUGGACUUUGUAAGAUUGGUUGGAUGCGGCAAGCGUUCGAGGUCCGUGCCAUGAUGGCUGAGAAUGGAUGCAGGUGUAACUUGGUGACAUUUAACCUGCUGAUUGGUGGACUCCUUAGAGUCCACAAGGUAAAGAAGGCCAUGAAGCUGAAGGAUGAGAUGGCUAGUUCUGGACUGCAGCCUGAUUCAUUCACCUACAGCAUAUUGAUAAAUGGCUUCUGUAAAAUGCGGCAAGUUGAACGUGCGGAAAGCCUCUUGUCUGAAAUGAGACGUCAUGGGAUGGAGCCUGAGCCAGUUCACUAUAUUCCUUUGCUUAAAGCUAUGUGUGAUCAAGGCAUGAUGGGUCAGGCUAGGGAUUUGUUCAAUGAAAUGGAUAGGAACUGCAAAUUAGAUGCUGCUGCAUAUAGCACUAUGAUCCAUGGUGCCUUCAAAUCAGGGGAGAAGAAAAUUGCAGAAGAGUUUCUUAAAGAUAUGAUUGAUGAGGGGCUGAUUCCUGAUGCUGUGACAUAUUCUAUCCCAAUCAACAUGUUUGCAAAAUCUGGAGACCUAGCAGCGGCGGAGCGGGUGCUUAAACAGAUGACAGCAAGUGGCUUUGUGCCUGACGUUGCUGUAUUUGAUUCACUGAUCCAAGGUUAUGGAGCUAAAGGCGACACUGAGAAGGUUCUUGAGUUAACUCGUAAAAUGACAGCCAAGGGUGUAGCACUUGAUCCUAAAAUUAUUUCAACUAUUGUCACUUCUCUUGGGGCAAGCAUUGAAGGGCAAAAGUUAUUGCAGAGUUUGCCUGGUUUUGAUACAGAAAUGUCAAAAGGCGACGUCAUCUCACCCCAUGAUGUAAUGAAUAUGCUACAAAAACAUUGCACCAAAUCUGAAUCCCCUGCUCUUUGCUGAGCUCUGAUCCCAGUUCAGUGCAGUCUAUAUCAUCCAAGGCAAAGCUGAAAGCAAUGACAUGUGAGAGCAAAAGUACGUACUCGAACGAUCAAAUCUUGCACAGACACAGUCCCACUGUUGGUUAAACGGCAUCUUCAAAUUUCACGUGGUAUGGCAAUUCAGCAUCCUUGAAGAGUUGUGGAUAUUUUGACAUGUAGUCGUAUGUAUCUUCAGAUAAACUAAACAGUUGGGAGUGUUGACAUCAAAGAUGGGAUGUGCCACCCUCACUAGGUUUUAAGAUGAGCAUGCCCACGACAAAUAUGGUUCAUAAGGGGCUAACCGGCAAACCUUGUAGGGGCUAUUCACAGGUUCCAAACCCACUGAGGUAGCCUGAACCAAACAAAACAGCUGCUCCAUUUACCAGGUUUGGUAUGGGUUUCAAACCAAACCUGUCUAUACUGAUACCCAACCAGUGUGGUAUGGUUACAGCGUACCGGACACUUUGAGCCUGAGUUACGUGGUGGAGUCGUCGAUGGCAGUAUGGCGCCGUCUCACAUCAAAGCCCAGAACUUGCUGCUGUGUUUCCUUGACAUGCUACUACCUCCGAGCAAGAGUUUUUCUACCAGCGAUGACGAACGGAUCAAGAACCAUUCCUGCAAUCCUGCUUACAUGCCAGUCAUCUCUGCAGCUAAUGUUCCAAAGGCCUUAUACUAGUCGGCAGAGUUAGAGGUGGCCGGUGGGCAUCUGUAUUGCCAAGGCCUAAUAUGGUGUCUUCUUUGCCCUGUGAGGGUUUGCAGUGGGAAAGUGAGAAAUUGCUUGGAUCAUUGUGCUGCUUGUUUUGGUAAAGUAAUUGCCGAAAAUUAGAGCGUCGCCCAGAUUGGAGGAAGAUAAAUUGGCUUGGGGCCCUGGAGUGCAGCGACUGGCUCUAGCUCCAGACCUGACGGACAACGCUCCUGCUGGCAACUCAUUUGGUCUUCGGAUGUUCCACCAACAGUACGCAACUUCACUUGGAGGGUUGCCACUGAUUCACUUCCAACAUGGAGGAGCACCUUGAAACUAGCGACUUAUGUCCAAUUUGUGCUACUGAAACUGAGGAUAGUUUUCAUGCACUGUGUCGAUGCACUUUGUCUCAAGUCCUCUGGGAUACAAUGACGGGUGUGUGGUCAUUGCCAAAUAUUUCUUCCAUGGUGAAUACUGGGAAAGAGUGAAUCUUACAUGCUCUACAGCCGAUGUCUGAAAUUGAAAGGUCUAUGCUUCCUAUGAAGUUAUGGCGGGCGUGGCAUAUACGUAAUGAGGUGGUCCACCAUAAAUCUCCUCCGGCCAUGGAUGCUUCUAGACGUUUCUUGGUAAGCUACCUAGAGUCCCUCAUCGGUGUUAAGAUAGACCUAUCAGCUGAUCCAAGUAAUGUCCGAGAUACCACAUGUGAUAACAAAAAAUGAGGCCACGUGGAGUGCUCCAAAAUCUGGCUGGGUAAUUUUAUGCACUGAUGGCUUGUUCGUGGACGAUGGUUCAGCUGGUGCAGGGAUGGUCCUGAGAGAUGACAAGGGUGCAAUUACAUUCUCAUCAUGUAGGCAACUCUUCUCAUGUCGUGAAGCCCUUGAAGCUGAACUAUGUGCUUGUAUGGAGGGGUUGUCGUUGGCUCUCCAGAGAAGUGAUCUUCCGGUCGUGAUCGAGAUGGAUUCGCUUAUCGCUGUGAAUUUGAUUCAGGCCAGGGAAGUGGACAUAUCAAUCUACACUUCGUUCAUUAAGGAGAUUAGAUAUCUUCUAUCACUCCAUGAAUCUUGUAUUACUCGUAUCAGUCGUAGUAAAAAAAAAGUUAGUGAUAGUCUAGCUAAGGGCCCAUUCGGCAAUCCAGCGGCUCCUCAAAAUCCAUGGAUGUGAGGAGCACCGUUUCGCACGCUCCCAGGUUUCUGGUUGCAGCUCCGUCCGCUUCGGAAGCGGAGCAAAACCAAACGGGCCCUAAGUUUGCUCGUUUACAAGGUAGAACUAUGACUUGGUUCGGUCCAGGGCCUUUGGUCGCUACAGACCUCGCUGCGAUUGAUUGUAUGAAUUUGUCGAAGUGAGUAAUACAAUAUUUCACCCGAAAAAAAGGAAUUGUGUGGAGGGAUGAUCGUUAUUUCCUCCCUGUGUUGGCUUGGUCUAAUGAUAAUGAUGUUUGGGAGUAGUACUGUACCUUU